CUCCUCAUAGUUCAACGGAUAGAACAUCGGUCUUCUAAACCGAGAAUCCAGGUUCGAAUCCUGGUGGGGAGA
rnacentral:tRNA from 1 species